rnacentral:rRNA from 1 species
UGGGGAAUCUUGGACAAUGGGGGCAACCCUGAUCCAGCCAUGCCGCGUGGGUGAAGAAGGCCUUAGGGUUGUAAAGCCCUUUCAGUCGUGACGAUGAUGACGGUAGCGACAGAAGAAGCCCCGGCUAACUCCGUGCCAGCAGCCGCGGUAAUACGGAGGGUGCUAGCGUUGUUCGGAAUUACUGGGCGUAAAGGGCGCGUAGGCGGCCUGUUAAGUUGGAUGUGAAAGCCCGGGGCUCAACCUCGGAACGGCAUCCGAUACUGGCGGGCUCGAGACCGGGAGAGGAGGGUGGAAUACCCAGUGUAGAGGUGAAAUUCGUAGAUAUUGGGUGGAACACCGGUGGCGAAAGCGGCUCUCUGGCCCGGUUCUGACGCUGAGGCGCGAAAGCGUGGGGAGCAAACAGGAUUAGAUACCCGUGUAGUCC